rnacentral:rRNA from 1 species
AGGCAGCAGGCACGCAAAUUACCCAAUCCCAGCUCGGGGAGGUAGUGACGAAAAAUAACAAUGCGGGACUCUUCCGAGUCUGCGUAAUUGGAAUGAGCACACUUUAAAUCCUUUAGCAACAACCAAUUGGAGGGCAAGUCUGGUGCCAGCAGCCGCGGUAAUUCCAGCUCCAAUAGCGUAUAUUAAAGUUGUUGCGGUUAAAAAGCUCGUAGUUGGAGGUCAGUUCCGGACUGGGGUGGGAGGUCACCGCCCGGUGCUUCCCCGUCAGGCUCCGAACAGCUUCCGUGAGUGGAAGCCAAGCCGGUUCUGCCGGGGUGCUCUUUACCGAGUGUCCCGCGCGGCCGGCCAGUUCACCUUGAAUAAAUGAGAGUGCUCAAAGCAGGCUACUCUGGAAUACAAUGCCCGAAUGUUACCUGCAUGGAAUGAUGGAAGAUGAUCUCGGUUCCAUUUUGUUGGUGGUGGGAGCCAGAGGUAAUGAUAAAGAGGGACUGUCGGGGGCAUCCGUACUACGACGCGAGAGGUGAAAUUCAGUGACCGUCGUAGGACGAACAACAGCGAAAGCAUUUGCCAAGAAUGUCUUCGUUGAUCAAGAACGAAAGUUAGAGGAUCGAAGGCGAUCAGAUACCGCCCUAGUUCUAACCCUAAACGAUGCUGACUAGCAAUUCGCCGUCGUUAUUCCCAUGACGUGGCGAGACGCCCCCGGGAAACCUCAAGUCUUUGAGUUCCGGGGGUAGUAUGGUUGCAAAAGUGAAACUUAAAGGAAUUGACGGAAGGGCACCACCAGGAGUGGAGCCUGCGGCUUAAUUUGACUCAACACGGGAAAGCUCACCAGGCCCGGACACCAGAAGGAUUGACAGAUUAAGAGCUCUUUCUCGAUUUGGUGGGUGGUGGUGCAUGGCCGU